GGGGAAUUUUGGACAAUGGGCGCAAGCCUGAUCCAGCCAUGCCGCGUGCAGGAUGAAGGCCUUCGGGUUGUAAACUGCUUUUGUACGGAACGGAAAGGUUACUUUUAAUACAGGGAACUGAUGACGGUACCGUAAGAAUAAGCACCGGCUAACUACGUGCCAGCAGCCGCGGUAAUACGUAGGGUGCGAGCGUUAAUCGGAAUUACUGGGCGUAAAGCGUGCGCAGGCGGUGAUGUAAGACAGAGGUGAAAUCCCCGGGCUCAACCUGGGAACUGCCUUUGUGACUGCAUCGCUGGAGUGCGGCAGAGGGGGAUGGAAUUCCGCGUGUAGCAGUGAAAUGCGUAGAUAUGCGGAGGAACACCGAUGGCGAAGGCAAUCCCCUGGGCCUGCACUGACGCUCAUGCACGAAAGCGUGGGGAGCAAAC
rnacentral:rRNA from 1 species